rnacentral:rRNA from 1 species
GGGUUGUGAGGUUAAGCGACUAAGCGUACACGGUGGAUGCCCUGGCAGUCAGAGGCGAUGAAGGACGUGCUAAUCUGCGAUAAGCGUCGGUAAGGUGAUAUGAACCGUUAUAACCGGCGAUUUCCGAAUGGGGAAACCCAGUGUGUUUCGACACACUAUCAUUAACUGAAUCCAUAGGUUAAUGAGGCGAACCGGGGGAACUGAAACAUCUAAGUACCCCGAGGAAAAGAAAUCAACCGAGAUUCCCCCAGUAGCGGCGAGCGAACGGGGAGCAGCCCAGAGCCUGAAUCAGUGUGUGUGUUAGUGGAAGCGUCUGGAAAGGCGCGCGAUACAGGGUGACAGCCCCGUACACAAAAAUGCACAUGCUGUGAGCUCGAUGAGUAGGGCGGGACACGUGGUAUCCUGUCUGAAUAUGGGGGACCAUCCUCCAAGGCUAAAUACUCCUGACUGACCGAUAGUGAACCAGUACCGUGAGGGAAAGGCGAAAAGAACCCCGGCGAGGGGAGUGAAAAAGAACCUGAAACCGUGUACGUACAAGCAGUGGGAGCACGCUUAGGCGUGUGACUGCGUACCUUUUGUAUAAUGGGUCAGCGACUUAUAUUCUGUAGCAAGGUUAACCGAAUAGGGGAGCCGAAGGGAAACCGAGUCUUAACUGGGCGUUAAGUUGCAGGGUAUAGACCCGAAACCCGGUGAUCUAGCCAUGGGCAGGUUGAAGGUUGGGUAACACUAACUGGAGGACCGAACCGACUAAUGUUGAAAAAUUAGCGGAUGACUUGUGGCUGGGGGUGAAAGGCCAAUCAAACCGGGAGAUAGCUGGUUCUCCCCGAAAGCUAUUUAGGUAGCGCCUCGUGAAUUCAUCUCCGGGGGUAGAGCACUGUUUCGGCAAGGGGGUCAUCCCGACUUACCAACCCGAUGCAAACUGCGAAUACCGGAGAAUGUUAUCACGGGAGACACACGGCGGGUGCUAACGUCCGUCGUGAAGAGGGAAACAACCCAGACCGCCAGCUAAGGUCCCAAAGUCAUGGUUAAGUGGGAAACGAUGUGGGAAGGCCCAGACAGCCAGGAUGUUGGCUUAGAAGCAGCCAUCAUUUAAAGAAAGCGUAAUAGCUCACUGGUCGAGUCGGCCUGCGCGGAAGAUGUAACGGGGCUAAACCAUGCACCGAAGCUGCGGCAGCGACACUAUGUGUUGUUGGGUAGGGGAGCGUUCUGUAAGCCUGUGAAGGUGUGCUGUGAGGCAUGCUGGAGGUAUCAGAAGUGCGAAUGCUGACAUAAGUAACGAUAAAGCGGGUGAAAAGCCCGCUCGCCGGAAGACCAAGGGUUCCUGUCCAACGUUAAUCGGGGCAGGGUGAGUCGACCCCUAAGGCGAGGCCGAAAGGCGUAGUCGAUGGGAAACAGGUUAAUAUUCCUGUACUUGGUGUUACUGCGAAGGGGGGACGGAGAAGGCUAUGUUGGCCGGGCGACGGUUGUCCCGGUUUAAGCGUGUAGGCUGGUUUUCCAGGCAAAUCCGGAAAAUCAAGGCUGAGGCGUGAUGACGAGGCACUACGGUGCUGAAGCAACAAAUGCCCUGCUUCCAGGAAAAGCCUCUAAGCAUCAGGUAACAUCAAAUCGUACCCCAAACCGACACAGGUGGUCAGGUAGAGAAUACCAAGGCGCUUGAGAGAACUCGGGUGAAGGAACUAGGCAAAAUGGUGCCGUAACUUCGGGAGAAGGCACGCUGAUAUGUAGGUGAAGUCCCUCGCGGAUGGAGCUGAAAUCAGUCGAAGAUACCAGCUGGCUGCAACUGUUUAUUAAAAACACAGCACUGUGCAAACACGAAAGUGGACGUAUACGGUGUGACGCCUGCCCGGUGCCGGAAGGUUAAUUGAUGGGGUUAGCCGCAAGGCGAAGCUCUUGAUCGAAGCCCCGGUAAACGGCGGCCGUAACUAUAACGGUCCUAAGGUAGCGAAAUUCCUUGUCGGGUAAGUUCCGACCUGCACGAAUGGCGUAAUGAUGGCCAGGCUGUCUCCACCCGAGACUCAGUGAAAUUGAACUCGCUGUGAAGAUGCAGUGUACCCGCGGCAAGACGGAAAGACCCCGUGAACCUUUACUAUAGCUUGACACUGAACAUUGAGCCUUGAUGUGUAGGAUAGGUGGGAGGCUUUGAAGUGUGGACGCCAGUCUGCAUGGAGCCGACCUUGAAAUACCACCCUUUAAUGUUUGAUGUUCUAACGUUGACCCGUAAUCCGGGUUGCGGACAGUGUCUGGUGGGUAGUUUGACUGGGGCGGUCUCCUCCUAAAGAGUAACGGAGGAGCACGAAGGUUGGCUAAUCCUGGUCGGACAUCAGGAGGUUAGUGCAAUGGCAUAAGCCAGCUUGACUGCGAGCGUGACGGCGCGAGCAGGUGCGAAAGCAGGUCAUAGUGAUCCGGUGGUUCUGAAUGGAAGGGCCAUCGCUCAACGGAUAAAAGGUACUCCGGGGAUAACAGGCUGAUACCGCCCAAGAGUUCAUAUCGACGGCGGUGUUUGGCACCUCGAUGUCGGCUCAUCACAUCCUGGGGCUGAAGUAGGUCCCAAGGGUAUGGCUGUUCGCCAUUUAAAGUGGUACGCGAGCUGGGUUUAGAACGUCGUGAGACAGUUCGGUCCCUAUCUGCCGUGGGCGCUGGAGAACUGAGGAGGGCUGCUCCUAGUACGAGAGGACCGGAGUGGACGCAUCACUGGUGUUCGGGUUGUCAUGCCAAUGGCACUGCCCGGUAGCUAAAUGCGGAAGAGAUAAGUGCUGAAAGCAUCUAAGCACGAAACUUGCCCCGAGAUGAGUUCUCCCUGACUCCUUGAGAGUCCUGAAGGAACGUUGAAGACGACGACGUUGAUAGGCCGGGUGUGUAAGCGCAGCGAUGCGUUGAGCUAACCGGUACUAAUGAACCGUGAGGCUUAACCUUACAACGCCGAAGGUGUUU